rnacentral:rRNA from 1 species
CCUACGGGAGGCAGCCGUAGGGAAUCUUCCACAAUGGGCGCAAGCCUGAUGGAGCAACACCGCGUGAGUGAAGAAGGGUUUCGGCUCGUAAAGCUCUGUUGUUGGAGAAGAACGUGCGUGAGAGUAACUGUUCACGCAGUGACGGUAUCCCACCAGAAAGUCACGGCUAACUACGUGCCAGCAGCCGCGGUAAUACGUAGGUGGCAAGCGUUAUCCGGAUUUAUUGGGCGUAAAGCGAGCGCAGGCGGUUGCUUAGGUCUGAUGUGAAAGCCUUCGGCUUAACCGAAGAAGUGCAUCGGAAACCGGGCAACUUGAGUGCAGAAGAGGACAGUGGAACUCCAUGUGUAGCGGUGGAAUGCGUAGAGAUAUGGAAGAACACCAGUGGCGAAGGCGGCUGUCUGGUCUGCAACUGACGCUGAGGCUCGAAAGCAUGGGUAGCGAACAGGAUUAGAUACCCCAGUAGUC